AGAAAGAUAAGCUAAUUAAGCUACUGGGUUCAUACCCCAUUUAUAGGGGUUUAACCCCCUUCUCUCUA
rnacentral:tRNA from 2 species